rnacentral:lncRNA from 1 species
ACUGUGAGGAGGGAAUUUGUUUCAGUGGUUGGUUCCCUGUAGUUGAUCCGAUCAAAACAAAUUUUUGUGCCUGGUUCAGAUUACUCCCAGUGACCCUGCUUCUUUGUAUCUUCUCUUUUAAGGCAUUGAACAUGGCAUAAGCUACAUCAGAGUCCUCCUGUACCUCAUGAUGACCAUCGUCCUGGUUAUUACUCUCCCUUUGUUGGGCCUGUCUUUCUGGUACAUUCAGAGAAAGAAAGAAAAAGAGGCUGAUGCAGGAGACCAGGAGUGUACUACUUAUGAGUCAAUUUCUAAUCCAAGCCCUGAUGCUACAGAAAAUCCAGAGUAUGCCACAGUUUCAUAUCCUAAAAAAAACAUCCAAAAGGAUUUGGAAGCACUGCAUACAAUUUAUGAUAUUCUGCAGAAUACUACAAAGGUAAGGAAUUUUUCCUUAAUUUUUUAUUCUCUUCCUCUGCCUCAAGCCUUUAUUGCCCUUUUGGAGCUCUCUGAGGAAUGA